rnacentral:rRNA from 1 species
AGUGAACGCUGGCGGUAGGCCUAACACAUGCAAGUCGAACGGCAGCACAGUAAGAGCUUGCUCUUACGGGUGGCGAGUGGCGGACGGGUGAGGAAUACAUCGGAAUCUACUUUUUCGUGGGGGAUAACGUAGGGAAACUUACGCUAAUACCGCAUACGACCUACGGGUGAAAGCAGGGGAUCUUCGGACCUUGCGCGAUUGAAUGAGCCGAUGUCGGAUUAGCUAGUUGGCGGGGUAAUGGCCCACCAAGGCGACGAUCCGUAGCUGGUCUGAGAGGAUGAUCAGCCACACUGGAACUGAGACACGGUCCAGACUCCUACGGGAGGCAGCAGUGGGGAAUAUUGGACAAUGGGCGCAAGCCUGAUCCAGCCAUACCGCGUGGGUGAAGAAGGCCUUCGGGUUGUAAAGCCCUUUUGUUGGGAAAGAAAAGCAGCAGGUUAAUACCCCGCUGUUCUGACGGUACCCAAAGAAUAAGCAUCGGCUAACUUCGUG